GGUUUGCAAUCUAUUGUUACGUGUGUUUAAAGUUAGGGCUUUAAUAAUAGUUUUUCUUGUUGCACAUUCUUCGCGCUUUGAUCUGUUUUAGCUUUGGAACUUUGUUUCUUGCAUUAGAUGUUUCCAAAUGUGCGGAGGUAUGACAGAUGAGGGGUUCUGAGAUAUGGAUUGGGAAUAAAUUGAAGAUCUGUGCUUUUAAUGGUUAAUUCAUAAAUUCCUAGUGGUUUUGUUUAACUUUGAGGUUAAGACUUCAUGUGUGAUUUGUCGGCUCACAUUGGUGUGCACUAGAGGACAUUGUGACUUUGGAAUUUUGAUUACUUCAG
rnacentral:misc_RNA from 1 species